rnacentral:sRNA from 1 species
AGAAGCAGGCCAAGUUUCAUCAAGAAAAAUUUGAAGUGUUUGAUAUAUUGUAUAUUUAAUAUUUUUUAACACAUAAUUUAAAUGAGGCAUCAAUGUGUGGAAUACAAUAUUAGCUUCAACUUGAAAAAGGCUUGUUAUAAAGUCAAUUGAUAUGAUGCAUUGAUUGUAUUCGAUUCACUGUUCCUUUUUGAAUGUUAAAUGGAGUUGAUGUUUUUGUUUCAAACAUGACUUUAAAAAUUUGUUUUUUAGCCAUAUUUCUGAAUCAAAACCCAGGAACUGUGAAAAAAAUCCUUUUUUAAAAGCUGCCUUUUUAUUUUUCAUUGCGUUAGGGGAGGGGGGAUGAAGAUUUAUCUUUCUGUCUUAUGGUAACAGCUAAUCCAUUGUUAAAUUCCUGUACAGUUGAUUCAUGUUCAGCUUUAACCCCUGUACCACUUACAGACAAAUUAAGCUUUACCUUGAACUUCAUAAACUUCAAAGGGGCAAAAGCAAUAUUCAAAAUGACCCUCUUUUUUUAAGGGGGGAUUGUGAAUAAUGUAGUAAGAUUUUAAUUAUGAAGUUAAUGCAUUGUCUCAAGUCAUGGUCCAGAGUCCACAUAGCUCUCUCUAGGGGGGAGUAGAGGAUUGUACAUAUUGGCCAUGGUUUGAGACCGUUAAGUUAAUGGUGCCAUGAAUUUUCUUUUUUGUUAAUUUUGAUAACAUCAACAUUACAUGCAUUUCAUAUACCAAUGCAAGACAAUUAAGAAUUGAGUGGAUGAAAAGAUUGUGGGUUUUUUUUAUUAUUGGUAUAAAUGACUGAUAUAUCAAAUCAAAUAAGUUAUUGUGUGGGUAGUUCUGUAUAUUUAGGUCAGUAAUUGAAGAGUGUCUGGGGUUAUUUGUCAUCAAACCAAGGGACAAUACUUUGUAUUCAUUGCUUCCCAAAAUAGACAAAAAAACAGAAAAAUGGCUGAUUUUUGCAAUUUCUGUAUUAUAUGUGAUUUUUUCAUACGUAGUUCACAUUUGAAUAUGUCUAUUUUUGCCAGUGUUGAUCAUGACUGAUUUUAUAUUUAUAUUUCUAUAUAUUUGGGAAUCUACAUCUAUCUUGUUGUUUCAAAUAAAACAAAAAUCACAC